GAGAAACGAGCGGGGAGGCAGAGACGUAUGCAUCCUGUUCCGGGAAUACGUAGAAUUUUGUGCUCGUUCGAAUUAGCUAAUGAAUCAACCGGACGUGGCGAGUCAUGCACGAUACGUAAGUUGCACGAGCGACAUCCGGUAGAUUCAUUUCGAAACGAUUAUCAUUCACCCAAAAUAUAUUUAUACCUUUGGAUUUGGAAAAAUUGUGAAAGCUUGACGAAUAUUCUCCUCUCGAGCUUCCAUACGUACGGUUUAUUACAGGUGGAAUCAAUUAUCGGCGAUGAAUGAGCCGCGAAAAUAAAUCCAGCCAUAGGUCGUUUCAUUAAUUAUAAUUAAGCGCGAUGAACCGAGACGAGAUGCAUCGAUACAGCGAAACAAUAUGCGCGUUACCCGCCAACAUAUCGCGUCCGUAUAAAUUGAAGCCUUCGAUGAGAGCCUCGUGACUCUUCGCCGCGAUUAUCAUCUCUCGUUUUUUUUUCUUUUUUUUCUCAACACCGAUGCGCUCGUACGCGCCUUGAAAAUAUCAACUCUCAUUAUUGUUUCCAAGAGAAUGCCAAGGGUACGACGGACGCGCGAACCGAUACGAUUAUUUAUAAAUAAUGAGACAGAUGUUGCGCAUCGUGGUACUCACCAUUUUGAAGAAAACCUGCCGAUGUCGGCUCUCGAGUCGAGUAGAAACAAGUUAAAAAAGAAAAAAAGAAUCUCUCUCUGUGUGUUUAUAAAUCCGUAAAUUCGUCCAAUAUAUAUGUAUGUAUAUAUAUAUAUAUCAAUUCUUUUGUCCUUAUUUUAUAUUUUUCAUCAAAAUACGACCCUCGUUUCUCCUUCUUUCUCUCUUCUGCUCGCUUUAUUUGCU